rnacentral:rRNA from 1 species
CCUACGGGCGGCAGCAGUGGGGGAUAUUGCACAAUGGGGGAAACCCUGAUGCAGCGACGCCGCGUGGAUGAAGAAGCGCCUCGGCGCGUAAAGCUCUGUCAGCAGGGAAGAAAAUGACGGUACCUGAAGAAGAAGCCCCGGCUAACUACGUUCCAGCAGCCGCGGUAAUACGUAGGGGGCAAGCGUUAUCCGGAGUUACUGGGUGUAAGGGGGGCGCAGACGGCGAUGCAAGUCAGGAGUGAAAGCCCGGGGCCCAACCCCGGGACUGCAUUUGGAACUGCUGGGCUAGAGUGCAGGAGGGGCAGGCGGAAUUCCUGGUGUAGCGGUGAAAUGCGUAGAUAUCAGGAGGAACACCGGUGGCGAAGGCGGCCUGCUGGACUGCAACUGACGUUGAGGCCCGAAAGCGUGGGGAGCAAACAGGAUUAGAUACCCGAGUAGUC